rnacentral:rRNA from 1 species
GUGGGGAAUAUUGGGCAAUGGGGGAAACCCUGACCCAGCGACGCCGCGUGAGGGAAGAAGGCCUUAGGGUCGUAAACCUCUGUUGUGUGGGAAGAAGAGCGUGACGGUACCACACGAGGAAGUCCCGGCUAACUACGUGCCAGCAGCCGCGGUAAUACGUAGGGGACGAGCGUUGUCCGGAUUUACGGGGCGUAAAGGGCGCGUAGGCGGUCAUUUAAGUCAGCUGUGAAAUGGUUUGGCUUAACCGGAUCAUGCGGUUGAAACUGGAUGACUGGAGUGCUGGAGAGGCAAGUGGAAUUCCCAGUGUAGCGGUGAAAUGCGUAGAUAUUGGGAAGAACACCGGUGGCGAAGGCGACUUGCUGGCCAGCAACUGACGCUGAGGCGCGAAAGCCAGGGGAGCAAACGGGAUUAGAAACCCGGGUAGUCC